rnacentral:rRNA from 1 species
UACGGGGGGAGCAAGCGUUGUUCGGAUUUACUGGGCGUAAAGGGCGCGUAGGCGGUCAGCACAAGUCAGUUGUGAAAUCUCCGGGCUUAACUCGGAAAGGUCAACUGAUACUGUGCGACUAGAGUGCGGAAGGGGCAACUGGAAUUCUCGGUGUAGCGGUGAAAUGCGUAGAUAUCGAGAGGAACACCUGCGGCGAAGGCGGGUUGCUGGGCCGACACUGACGCUGAAGUGCGAAAGCUAGGGGAGCGAAC